UAGGGAAUCUUCCACAAUGGACGCAAGUCUGAUGGAGCAACGCCGCGUGAGUGAAGAAGGGUUUCGGCUCGUAAAGCUCUGUUGUUAAAGAAGAACGUGGGUAAGAGUAUCUGUUUACCCAGUGACGGUAUUUAACCAGAAAGCCACGGCUAACUACGUGCCAG
rnacentral:rRNA from 1 species